UGGAAGGUGCUCCUUGAACUGGGUUGAUAUGUCCGUCGCAAGACACAUCAUCGCAGGUCAGGAGCACUUUUCACGUCUACGGCACGCCACCGGCGUGAAAG
rnacentral:sRNA from 1 species